rnacentral:rRNA from 1 species
AUGGAGCCGACCUUGAAAUACCACCCUUUAAUGUUUGAUGUUCUAACGUUGACCCGUAAUCCGGGUUGCGGACAGUGUCUGGUGGGUAGUUUGACUGGGGCGGUCUCCUCCUAAAGAGUAACGGAGGAGCACGAAGGUUGGCUAAUCCUGGUCGGACAUCAGGAGGUUAGUGCAAUGGCAUAAGCCAGCUUGACUGCGAGCGUGACGGCGCGAGCAGGUGCGAAAGCAGGUCAUAGUGAUCCGGUGGUUCUGAAUGGAAGGGCCAUCGCUCAACGGAUAAAAGGUACUCCGGGGAUAACAGGCUGAUACCGCCCAAGAGUUCAUAUCGACGGCGGUGUUUGGCACCUCGAUGUCGGCUCAUCACAUCCUGGGGCUGAAGUAGGUCCCAAGGGUAUGGCUGUUCGCCAUUUAAAGUGGUACGCGAGCUGGGUUUAGAACGUCGUGAGACAGUUCGGUCCCUAUCUGCCGUGGGCGCUGGAGAACUGAGGGGGGCUGCUCCUAGUACGAGAGGACCGGAGUGGACGCAUCACUGGUGUUCGGGUUGUCAUGCCAAUGGCACUGCCCGGUAGCUAAAUGCGGAAGAGAUAAGUGCUGAAAGCAUCUAAGCACGAAACUUGCCCCGAGAUGAGUUCUCCCUG